rnacentral:SRP_RNA from 1 species
GCCGUGGUGGCACGUGUCUGUAAUCCAAGUCACUUGGAGUCUGAGGUUGGCGGGAUCGAGUGAGCUUAGGAGCUCUGUCGAACGGGUAUCAAUAUGGUAUUCCUGGGGUAGCCGGGGGCCACCAGGUCAUCUAAGGAGGUGUGCACCGGCCCAGGACGGAAACGAAGCAGGUCAAUGCUCCUAUGCCGUCCAGUAGUGGGAUAGUGCCUCUGAGUACACGUUGCAGUGCAGCCUGGGCAAGACAUUGAAACUCAAACUUU